rnacentral:rRNA from 1 species
UGUGCCCUUGAGGCGUGGCUUCCGGAGCUAACGCGUUAAGUCGACCGCCUGGGGAGUACGGCCGCAAGGUUAAAACUCAAAUGAAUUGACGGGGGCCCGCACAAGCGGUGGAGCAUGUGGUUUAAUUCGAUGCAACGCGAAGAACCUUACCUACUCUUGACAUCCAGAGAACUUAGCAGAGAUGCUUUGGUGCCUUCGGGAACUCUGAGACAGGUGCUGCAUGGCUGUCGUCAGCUCGUGUUGUGAAAUGUUGGGUUAAGUCCCGCAACGAGCGCAACCCUUAUCCUUUGUUGCCAGCGAUUCGGUCGGGAACUCAAAGGAGACUGCCGGUGAUAAACCGGAGGAAGGUGGGGAUGACGUCAAGUCAUCAUGGCCCUUACGAGUAGGGCUACACACGUGCUACAAUGGCGCAUACAAAGAGAAGCGACCUCGCGAGAGCAAGCGGACCUCACAAAGUGCGUCGUAGUCCGGAUCGGAGUCUGCAACUCGACUCCGUGAAGUCGGAAUCGCUAGUAAUCGUGGAUCAGAAUGCCACGGUGAAUACGUUCCCGGGCCUUGUACACACCGCCCGUCACACCAUGGGAGUGGGUUGCAAAAGA